AUGAAGAAACAAGCUACAGCAAAACAACAGGAAAUUUUGUUAAGAGGCCAAACCUAUGACACCUCCAACUUCCUUUUGACCAAAAACUCUAACUUCAUCAAUCAGCGUAUGACAAGGUCAGUACUCAAUUAUAUUUUAAAUUCCUAUCAAUGCCUAUCUGUGUACACUUUAAUUGAUUUUUAAUAUCGUUGUAUAUGGAUUUCCAGUUUAGCCAAAAGACAGGCUCAAGCAAAAGCAGUCAAGCUACAUUACUUCUACAAAUUUGGUCUGUAUGGCGUUGACGAAAUAUUAUAUAUACUUGGAAAUUCUACACAAAUUGGUAUUUGUACUACAGUUGGUAGAAGCUGA
rnacentral:lncRNA from 1 species